UACGUAGGGUGCGAGCGUUAAUCGGAAUUACUGGGCGUAAAGCGUGCGCAGGCGGUUCGUUGUGUCCGUCGUGAAAGCCCCGGGCUUAACCUGGGAACUGCGAUGGAAACUAGCGAGCUGGAGUGUGGCAGAGGGGGGUGGAAUUCCGCGUGUAGCAGUGAAAUGCGUAGAGAUGCGGAGGAACACCGAUGGCGAAGGCAGCCCCCUGGGCUAACACUGACGCUCAGGCACGAAAGCGUGGGAAGCAAACAGG
rnacentral:rRNA from 1 species